rnacentral:rRNA from 1 species
UACGUAGGGUGCGAGCGUUGUCCGGAAUUAUUGGGCGUAAAGAGCUUGUAGGCGGUCUGUCGCGUCUGCUGUGAAAAUCCGGGGCUCAACCCCGGACUUGCAGUGGGUACGGGCAGACUAGAGUGUGGUAGGGGAGACUGGAAUUCCUGGUGUAGCGGUGAAAUGCGCAGAUAUCAGGAGGAACACCGAUGGCGAAGGCAGGUCUCUGGGCCACUACUGGCGCUGAGAAGCGAAAGCAUGGGGAGCGAACAGG